GAGUUUGAUCUUGGCUCAGGAUGAACGCUGGCGGCGUGCUUAACACAUGCAAGUCGAGCGAAGCGCUAAGACAGAUUUCUUCGGAUUGAAGUCUUUGUGACUGAGCGGCGGACGGGUGAGUAACGCGUGGGUAACCUGCCUCAUACAGGGGGAUAACAGUUAGAAAUGACUGCUAAUACCGCAUAAGCGCACAGGACCGCAUGGUCUGGUGUGAAAAACUCCGGUGGUAUGAGAUGGACCCCGCGUCUGAUUAGCUAGUUGGAGGGGUAAACGCCCACCGAGGCGACGAUCAGUAGCCGGCCUGAGAGGGUGAACGGCCACAUUGGGACUGAGACACGGCCCAGACUCC
rnacentral:rRNA from 1 species